rnacentral:rRNA from 1 species
GAUGAACGCUGGCGGCGUGCCUAAUACAUGCAAGUCGAGCGAACAGACGAGGAGCUUACUCCUCUGACGUUAGAGGCGGACGGGUGAGUAACACGUGGAUAACCUACCUAUAAGACUGGGAUAACUUCGGGAAACCGGAGCUAAUACCGGAUAACAUGUUGAACCGCAUGGUUCAACAGUGAAAGACGGUCUUGCUGUCACUUAUAGAUGGAUCCGCGUCGCAUUAGGUAGUUGGGAAGGUAACGGCUUACCAAGGCAACGAUGCGUAGCCGACCUGAGAGGGUGGUCGGCCACACUAGAACUGAGACACGGUCCAGGCUCCUACGGGAGGCAGCAGUAGGGAAUCUUCCGCAUUGGGCGAAAGCCUGACGGGACAACGCGACGUGAGUGAAGAGGGUCUUCGGAUCGUAAAACUCUGUUAUUAGGGAAGAACAAAUGUGUAAGUAACUAUACACGUCUUGACGGUACCUGAUCAGAAAGCCACGGCUAACUACGUG